rnacentral:rRNA from 1 species
GACGAACGCUGGCGGCGUGCUUAACACAUGCAAGUCGAGCGGAAAGGCCCUUCGGGGUUCUCGAGCGGCGAACGGGUGAGUAACACGUGAGUAACCUGCCCCAGACUUUGGGAUAACCCUCGGAAACGGGGGCUAAUACCGGAUACGACACAGCUUCGCAUGGGGUCUGUGUGGAAAGUUUUUCGGUUUGGGAUGGGCUCGCGGCCUAUCAGCUUGUUGGUGGGGUGAUGGCCUACCAAGGCGACGACGGGUAGCCGGCCUGGGAGGGCGACCGGCCACACUGGGACUGAGACACGGCCCAGACGCCUACGGGAGGCAGCAGUGGGGAAUAUUGCACAAUGGGCGGGAGCCUGAUGCAGCGACGCCGCGUGAGGGAUGACGGCCUUCGGGUUGUAAACCUCUUUCAGCAGGGACGAAGCGUAAGUGACGGUACCUGCAGAAGAAGCGCCGGCCAACUACGUG